rnacentral:ncRNA from 1 species
CUUCGCAACCAGCUUGACAGACUAAGAGUUCUUACUUGAUUCUAUGGGUGGUGGUGCAUGGUCGUUCUUAAUUGGUGGAGCGAUUUGUCUGGUUAAUUUUGUUAUAGAACGAGACAUUAGCUUGCUUAUGUGACACCCUAGGCCACUCCCACAUCGACAAAACACGAGAAAGAUGCUGGGUAAAUAAGUAAACAUGCCUUAGACUCUAGUGACGCGUUUUAAACUCGUGAGAGCCUAGGUCCAGAAUAGACAAUAUCACUA